AGAGGAGAAAUCGCUGAAAUGCAGGCUUGGGACUGGGAGGAUGGAGGGAUGUCAUGUUGCUGCACCGAGCGUUAUACAGGCCUCACAGGCUGCAAGAAAAACAGAGUGAUGGAUGAGAGCCCGCCAUCUCAAGUUGCUGUUAGUCGAUUGCUGUUGGUGUUUUUCUCCUCUUCCUCUAAUAGGAGAGUUGCCCGAGCCGACGAGAGGGAUCUGUGUUGUUGCUUUCAGUGUGUGAUCUAGUAAUGAAUACCUGCUUGAAACUGUAAUCAUCCACUUAAACCAUUUGGACCCACAGCGCAAACAUGUAAUCUGAUUAUACUCAUUUUCCAUUGGACUGCUUCAUCUUCAAUGCUGGUUUAGAGUCGAGAUAAUUUAGUAAGCACAUUAAGCAAUUUGACCACUGUUAUUAACUACACAGAUUUCAUCCCAAAACAAUGUAUUUUACAAACCACAAAAAACCUUUAAUGACUUUUAAUUUGACCAUAAUGUUCCUCAAAAUAUGAGUUUGUACAGUGAAGGACUGGAUAACUUCAACAUAAACUUUUAUUUUCAUCUUCAGUCAGACAAGCUGUUGCAUAUCUAUUUAUUUUGGUUUGAUAAUAAGUUGACUGAAAUUACGUUUGUGCAUGUUUCUCUGUCAUGUCAUGAUUGUUUUUUCCCAUGACUGGAUUCUUGCAUCAUGCCUAAUAUUAAGUAUCACUCGUUUAUUUUAUAAUAUUGCAACAGGGAUAUUUGUGAAAUAACUAACAACAAAUCUAAGCUACAUUUGACUGAUUUCAGCUGCCCUGAAAAAUAAAUUUAAUAAACGCAAACUCAGGAUGUCUUGUUUACUGCUUGAAUUCUCUCAGUUCGCAGAUUUUGCAUCAAGCUACGACAUAAAUGAAACCCGCCAUUACUUCAGUUGUAUGACAAUCCAGAUGAAAGCUAACAAUAAAUACAAGGAGAUUAAAACAUGGUUCUGAAGCAUCAUCUUCCAUCAAUGUCUCUUGGUUCAUUCACAGUCAUUACAGUAAUCAGAAGGCUGCUGCUAUGAGUCCAGGUGAGA